AUUAUAUGGAGUUCAGAGACCAUACACAAACGAGGCGGACCCGAAAAGCCAUAUGAGUAGGAACUUA
rfam:Dysgonomonas gadei ATCC BAA-286 genomic scaffold supercont1.8, whole genome shotgun sequence.